UACGUAGGGUGCAAGCGUUGUCCGGAAUUAUUGGGCGUAAAGAGCUCGUAGGCGGUCUGUCGCGUCUGCUGUGAAAACUCAGGGCUUAACCCUGAGCUUGCAGUGGGUACGGGCAGACUAGAGUGGCGGUAGGGGAGACUGGAAUUCCUGGUGUAGCGGUGAAAUGCGCAGAUAUCAGGAGGAACACCGGUGGGCGAAGGCGGGUCUCUGGGCCGUAACUGACGCUGGAGGAGCGGAAAGCAUGGGGAGCGAACAG
rnacentral:rRNA from 1 species